AUUAUUCACAUUUAACAGAUAAGGAUACUGAGGCACAGACAGGUUUGAAUGAUCACAUCUCACUGCCCCCUCAGAGAAGUAUAAAGCUAACUUCUUCAUUUCAGCUUUUCCAGAGCCACAACAAGGAGGAGGAGGACAUGACAGAGUAGGAUGCGUGUGCAGGGGUCAGAUACCAAAUGCCUCUGGGGAAGUGGGGAGGAAUUGGUCUGUUUUGGCUGUGUAAUUAUUGGGGCUACCCCAUACCCUAACCCCCUAGGAUGCCAGUGGCAUGCCAGGUGUACUACCACUCAGAGGCAAGCACUAGUGGUACUUCAUCAGCUGGGUCUUGCAAGCACCAGCCCUGGGUCCUAGUAACCUCUCAGACACAUGGCUAAGGGAUAGGUUAUUUCACCAGGGCUAGCAGGAAAUGGAAAGUUUGCAAAUACCCUAAGUACAGUGGCUUAAACAGGUACAGUUCAAGUGAGAAAUAGCAGUGAAUGUUUGGGUCUCUGGGCAGUCUAAUCAAAAGUCAGGGCUCUUCAGGCCCAGUGCCUGCGAUGUCCUCUCCAGUUCAGUCUCUAUUCAAGCAAAAAGCUUGUAGGUUUCCAAGCCAGGCUCAGUUAGUAUCUCUCAUGGGGGCUCCUCUGCACUGGCUCCCUGUCCAGUCACUAAUGCUCUCACACAGAGCUGUAAUAUCUGGCAGUCACAGCCUGUUCCAUAAGGGCUCUGCAUCCAUUUCUGACUCCAGGUUCUCUCCAGCUCCCUGCUUGCCAUGCAGCCACUGCCUCAGCUUCCCUGCAGCUUCUCUUUUGCCAUAUGGCCACUGCCUUCUGACAGAACUCAUCCACUUCCUGCUUCGGCACCUUUUCCCUUACCUGGCCAGGGGAAAGGGACCUGCAGUGGGAAGGCAACUGAUAGGAGUUGUAGACUGAUGCUUUGCAGAUCCAUUAUAGCUGUAAUCUUUUUUUAUAAGGCACUUGCACACUUUGGUAAUGGGCUCAGUAUAAUCUAGCAAUUGCCAUACUGGAUCAAACCAUCCUAUCCAGUAGCCUGUUUCCAACAGUGGCCAGCUCCAGAUGUUUCAGAUGAAAUCCUGCAGUGUGGCAGUUAUGAGAUAACCUGACCACAGGGAAAGUUUCCUCCUAAUGCUCAUUAGCUAGAUGUUGCUUUCUGCCCUGAAAUAUCAGGUUUUUUGUUUCUGAUCUUUAUUCUUAUUCGUUCUUUGCUGUUGUUACUCUAUAUGAUCUCAUUAUCCACAUAAAAGUCCAACCUUUUUUUGAAUCCCACUAAGCUCUUGGCCUCAGUGAUAUCUAGUGGCAAUGAGUUCCACAAACUCAUUGUGCAUCAUAUGAAGAUGCAAUAAAUGGCCUAGAUAAGUUUAGUAACUGGCCCUUGGUUGCACAGUUAGCAAUAGGGUAGGGAAUGGAACUCCAAGCCAGAACUUUCAAAAUUGGAUGCUAGUUAAAUUUAGGGUGUCUCAGUUUUUGGUUGCCGAGGGAGACCCUAGGCCUGAUUUUCAGAGAUGUUGAGUACCCACAGUUCCCACUGACUUCAUGGCCGAUAGCCUUUGGUCUAGCCAAACUGUGCCUGGCACAGGAUCUCAGGUUGGGGGAUGGAGAAAGCAAAGGUCACUGAAUGCUAUCUUUGUGCUUUAUGAAUGCUAUCUUUGUGCUUCAUGUUGCCAGGUGCUAUUCAACAUGAAUGAGACAAUUAAAAUCUGGCCCUUAGUGAUUUAUAUGUUGGCAUAACAGUUGUUAUUUUUGGAUAGCAUAGUGAUGUACUAUUAGUAUAGCAAUUGUGAUCUGUAUGAAGGAAUACAUAAUCUUUGGUUUAAACAGCAGGCUCCAUAUACAUGAACGGGAUUUACAACAUAUCAUAUUUCCCCCCCUUUCUUGGGACAAGGGAGCAAGUUCAGGUAGCACAAUAUACUUGUCUGAUCUGAAUAUCAACUUUUUAUAAGCAGUUGCCAUUCUGCUGGAUUCUGUCAUCCAGGGAAACUGAAAGAGUUGAGAGGAAAGUGUCCCAAAUUUUGUUCAGCCCUGCAGCAGAAAGUUCCAAAGAUAAAAGCAUUUCUCAGCAUUAGCAGACUGUGAAAUGUAGUUGAAAAUGAAUUCUUUAAUGCCAAUUAUAUUAAGAAUUUAUUUUCAACUACAUUUCACAGUUUGUUCAUGCUGAGAGGACCUAUUAUCUUUGGAAUUUUCAGACUGCAGGGCUGAGUAAAAUAGGUAACUUUCCUUUUAAAUAAAGCAGAAAGUACUGGAGUGAGAUUAUAUCUGUCACAGAUUAUAAUAUUUAUAUUUAUUCCUCACAAAACCAAAAUCCCCCUAGGCAUGUCUCGGAUUCACAUGAGGUCUCUGAGUUCUAGAUUUUGCAUCUGGGUAUAUGAUUGCUUUAACCGAGAGACGUGCUAUGUGCAUUUAAUACACUACAGCUGUGUUCCACUCCGUCAAAUAUACAUAAAAGACAAUCUGAAGCUAUCAGCAAGAGAGAUAGUUUAGGCAACAUGAUGAACUGAAAGGCUAGUGGAUCAACCCAUGACAUUUGGGUUCAAAUUUGGAAUUUUUUUCUCCAUCUGUGAUGAAUGUUUAUCUCCCUCGCAAAAACACUGUUCCCUCUUGAUUAGGAGUUAAGGAGCUUGAGCUAGCUUGAUGGCUCUUUCAAAGGUCAACUGUAGCUUAUGCUCACUACAGUGGGUCAAGUUCCAUCUUUUCUGGAGGGUAGCAUUGCUUAAAGCACUGCAAACCCUGACCACUUUGGGCAGCUGUCACCACCCCAAAUACCAAGGACACCGACAGCUUUGCACAGCUGAAAUUCUUGACAAAAGAGCAAUGAAACUACCAUGCCCAAAACUCCUAGUGACUUCAGUGGGAGUUUUAAGUGUGCAAGGAUUCAGGAUUCACUCCCAAAUGGUUCAUUUACUAAACUCUUGGGAGAUAUCUCAUGCAGAUAUGUGGUCAGAAUUUAUAAUUUAGAAUCAGGACUAUUCUUCUUAGGCCAAACCUGAAACCCUUUCUCAGUUAUAUCGGCAUAGCUACAUUGGUCGGGGGCAUGAAAACACCACAGCCCUAACCGACGUAGCUAUGUUGAAAAAACCCCCACUGUAGAUGCAGCUAUGUUGAUGGGAGAAUGCUUCUGAUGACGUAGCUAACAUUGUUGGAUGGAAAAAUACCUUCUCCUAGUGUAGUUUGCGCCUACACUAUGCGGCUAUGCCAGCACAGUGUAGACAUACCCUCAGUUUUACUUAGUUCUUUUUUAACAUCCCCAUGUAGAUUAUCAACAGGAUUUGAAGUGAGGACCUUCAGCAUCACAGCAGAGGACUAAAAGGAAAACUCCAUUAACAGGUUUGUGGGGAAUGAAAUAGAUCUUCCUGGUCUUGCAGACCAUCCUGGCUGAAUCAGGCUGAGAUGGGAAAUGCAGAAGCUCUUCAGACUGUCACACUUUGAGGAUCCGAAGGAUUGUCCUUUGGUUGCAGUUAGAAACCCCAUUGCUGAGUUUUGUGCAUGGAAUCAAUCACUGUGUGCAGUACUUCCAGCUAGAAGCUUUCAAAUACCAGAAGACAAAUGCUCCCAGAAUCUUGACAAUGUUUUAAAAAUCAAGAGAUUUAACAUAAUCUGCCACAUUGUCGUUCAUCUACCUUCCAGUUCUCCAGCAAAUCAAUCAGUAAACGACUGGCUCUUUCCUUUGGCAUUUUUGGUUGGGGAAAUGGUAAAUUCCUGAGUGGGUACUACAUAAGAACAGCCCUACUGGGUCAGACCAAAGGUCCAUCUAGCCCAGUAUCCUGUCUUCCGACUGGCCAGUGCCAGAUGCCCCAGCAGGAAUGAACAGAACAGGACUGCUGAUCUGAAAGGCAUAAUCAUCCACAGGUUGUGCUCCUUGGAAAUAUUUCCUAUCAGUUAGAGGAUUUGUGAAGUGAAGUAAGAAGAAAAGUAACCACAAGGUACAGUAAGAUCUCACUGAUUCACUCUGAUGACCAGAAGGUUCAUUGUGCAUCACUGAAUUUUUGCAGCUUAGUAAGUAAAGACUCAGUCUGACACCCAUUGAAAUCAAGUAUGAUGAUAGUUCAUAAAUGAUAAAUGUUUUGUAGUACAGGCCUGCUCCAUCUCCAGCUGAAGACAAUAGGAGAUUUGCUAUUAAAUUCAAAGGGUAGUAAGAUUGAGCCUAUAUUUUGCUACACUCAUACAAUAAUAUGAGACCUCUCUGCAUCAGUAUUAAAUAUCAUUGCUGUACUAUUAAAUCUUUACUUAAAAGUGUGGCUAAGGAGUCAUUUUUGUUUGUGAAUGCUGAGUUUCUAUUGUCCUGCAGCUAACACUUAUUUUUGUAUUUUUUUUAUAUAGACUGGCUCUUCUUAUAAAUAUUUUUACUAUUCAAGCAGUUCUACCUGAGAAGAACUAGAAACGCUUCUGUGUCUGUUAUAUGUGAAUUUGAAAUAUAAAAUACAAGAACGUAGUGGCCUUGUUAAAGAAAUACAUUUAAAAUUUCACAGGCCAGAUUUCACAGCACCUGAUGCUUAAACACUAAGGCUAGGUUUUUCAAAAGAUCCUAAGUGACUAAGGUCCAUAGGACUUGAGCUUCUAAGACAUGUUUAGGCAUUUGAAAAUGUCACCCUAAGUCUAGUAAUAAUUAUGUUUGAAAUGUAUAGCAGGGCUAUUCAGCCAAGCUUUGAUUCCAGGAAAUACAGUUAAAUCAAAAUCCAGAAGAGGGAGCCCUCUAUCAAAAUAAGAUACUAAAUUGAAUUAUUACCAAAAUUCACAGAAGUUUCCACUUUCUUUUCCAUCCACUUGUAAACCCCUCUGGAUUAUUUAGCCUAUCUGACUAUACUUAAAAGACUAGCAGCUCACAAUUUCUAUCUUUAAACAAUAUUAUUCAAUAUCUGAGAAGCAUGCUUGUGAUUUUUAUCUGUGGCUGGGCAUAUCAGAUGUGGAACCUGGUCCACAUAAUAGAAGUUGUUUCCGUUAUCCCCAAAAGCGAAACAGUUGUGUGACCUGUAUUCAGAUUAGUUAGGGAGGAGGUUUCCAUUUUGAAAGCAGCAUGGAAACCUUGGGCCCAAUCCUGCUCCCAUUGAAGUCAGUGGAACAUUGCCAUUGUUUUCAGUAGGAGAAGAAACAGGCCCUUUGUUAUAACAGAUGAUGUUUAUGCAGGAAUCUCCUUACACCCACUUAAAGUGUUUCAGCUCCCACAAUUAGUGUCAGAAUGAAAAGGUUAUUUUGCUGCAGGUAUGUGGGGUGUUAUUUUUUAUGUGUACUGCACUCUCUGUUUAACCAUUUCAGUACCACCACCCCCAUACAUUCAUCCGGAGGAGCCUACUGUCUGAAUGAAGCUGCACUGAUUUACUCUCGAUCUGGAUUUCAGUUGGAAUCCAUUUGCAUGACUCGAGUUUACUUUAAAGAUGAUGUUCAGCAGGAAAAAAGUAGAAAACUCAAUGGACGUCUCAGAUGUGGAUUUUCAGCCUUCUUUGCCCUUAAUCCUACCAUUUUUCUCUGUAGUCCGUAAAGUCUUCAAGUAAAAAAUAAUAGACAAACCAAAAACAGGGUAAACAAGACCUGAAUUUUUAAUGCAAAACAAAUCUAACAACCAUACAACAGGCUGGAAGAUAUCCCUUUCAGGAAGUGCUUAAUUUGUAAUGAAAGAGAUGCUGGGGCUCAAGCAAUUAGGUGCUUUCGUAACUGAUGCGGCAAGCCCAGAGAUACCGGAGCUCUGAACUGCCAAGCCGAGAGGUGCUGGGGCUCAGUCCUGGCACAAAUUAAGCGUGCAUUCAGGCUUCUUUUAUAAACAUCUAGAUAGAAAUGAAGGCCGCUCCAGGACUCACAAGGGAGUAUAAGCUUCCCAGAAUCAGCCACUUAAAGGCAUGAUUUUGCCCCUGAGGUAAAUCCAUCUUGCCUGCCUCUCUGGGCUUGUCUUCACUGCUAAAAAUUGUCAUUUUUUUUACCUCAGGAUAAACAACCUGCACCCCCUCCAGGGGAUGACCUUAGCGAGUUUACCUCACAAUAAAACUGAAAUGCCUGGUCUUCAUUGUGUUUUUACCUCAGGAUAGCUCGUGUGUGUUAGUUACCCUGAGGUAAACAUUCACAGUAUUUUUGCAUGAACACAAAGCCUCUGUGAUGACCGGAGCACUAAGUGCAGCAGAAGCAGGACACUUACACUGUGCUCUAGAGGGCAAAAUCCCAGCACCCAAGAAUAGGGAUUUUGUACUGCCAUAGAGCUGGGCAGGGGCAAAGGAAUGGCUAGUGGAUCCAGGACUAUGCAGAUCCACUUGCCAAGCCCCCGACUGCUGGAAUUAAUGUCCCUGGGUCAACUCUGCUACUGUUCUUUAGCUUGUGGUGGAAGGGAGGUUUCCAUUCCCCAUAUGCCCCUCCUCCUCCUCCUUCUCCCCCACCCCGCAGUUCAUACCACUCAGCCUACUUACCAGGGCUGUGUCCUGAGACUAUGAUUUGUCCCUUGAUGUCUAUUUGAAUUAAUGCAGAUCCAUAUUGAAUAAGCAUUGUAGGCAUGACUUUACAGGGGAAAUUUAUUGAUACGGUACAUAUUAUAUGGAAAAAUCUAAAUACAAAAGAAGGAAUGAGUCAAAAAGUUUUAAAUUGGACCCUAGCAAGUUAAGUUUGCAAUAUACUUUCCAUCAACUUAUUCAGUAUCCUGUACUUUACUCUGCUGUAAAGUGGUUAAUACUAGUUUCCAAUAUUCUAACCUUAUAUAGUAAGUGCUUAUACAUGUAGCAAAGAGAAUGAGAGGAGCCACUAAAAUAAACAUAUCUACAGUAUUGUAUAUAUGAAGAUUUCAUUGUGCUUUUAAAUAUGUGUGUUUCUGAUUCCUGUGCUAUGUCCGAUAAGCAUUUUACUGGGGGAAAAAAACCCUAAUGGUAUAUUUGGAAGGAUGCAGAAGUUGUUGCUAAUUGGAUCAAUAAAGGCUGGCCUUCCAAAUUGAGCUAUGAAAGGGAAGGAACUGGUGGAUAAGUUACCUCCCAUCUUGUCCAACUGCCAGAAUGUGAGAUUAGGCAGGCAAAUUCUCUUCCUCAGGUCCAAGCCUUGAAGGGUGAGAUCACCCUAGCAAAUUAACCCUUGCUGGAAGGUGUGAGUGGAUUGGUAAAUUAGAUAGCUUUGCACUUCUAGAAGAAGGGCUUGAAUAGGACCCCAGAGCAAUGCACCUUUUGUUUACAUUGCUUAUGCUUAAACUAGGCGCAAGGGGAAAAUAAUGGAUGAUGUAAUGGUUUACAAACUAUGCUUUCCAUUCCAAGCUGAAGAAACUUUAUAAAAAAGGCAACACACUCUGUUUUCACACUGACAUUUGGUAUUUUAAUAAAAUACAGCCUAAUUUUUUUUUUUUAAAAAAAGAUCUAAAUCAAAUCAGUGCUAUAACAGAGCUCACGGGAUCACUGUAUAAUGCCCUUAAAAUAACCCAGUAAUAAAUGAAAAAGCCUCCUACUGCCCAAAGACAACCAGUUAACUUCCUUAUAUAAAGCUGUAGGUCUUUUAUUAGGCUACAAAACCAUUUCAAACAAAUGAAAACCAAAUGUGCAAAAAAUGUGAGGGGUGUGUGUGUGCGCGUGUGCGCCAAUCCCUUGUACUAAAAUAGUAUGAGCCCCUGGGCUCUUUAAACUAAGAUCUGCCUCAAUCACUCCAACUGGCUGGCUUGUGCUUUCAUGAGUGAAUACAGGGCGCAUCUUUUGACAAACAUGCUGCAUCCUUGUGUUAGUUAGAGGAUCUAUACAUGCAGUAACUGUAUGGGAGAGAUUAAGAAACUGUUCUGUAUGGAACUAUUCAAAGUAAAGAACCCUGAGAUACGCAAAGCAUUAUGCAACUCAGAUUGGCACAUGUUGUUCUCCAGCCCAAAAUAGUUGCUAUUGUAGAAACAGUCUUUUUAAAUAUUCACGCACAAAAGCUUUCAACUUGUACUAAAUCAAUGCCCCAUCUGGUACUAUUGUACAUUCUUGUACUAAAUAGACAUAGGGCCAAAAGCAGCCCUGGUGUAAAUGAUCCUAUUGCCAUCAAUAGGAAUUGCAUCUGCUUACAACAGGGCUGAAUUUUGCCCCCAAACUGCAACUGGUUGCUCUGUGAAUGUAAAUAUAUAUAUUAUCCUUCUAUGAACAUACACUUAGCUUAUGUCUGGUGUAGGAUUCUGCUUUUCAGUGAUUGCUUGCAAAUUGGAGAACAGUUUUAAUGUUUUAUUAAUAAGAGAGCUUAGUUUCUUUAUAUUACACCUCUAGGCCCUGCUUCAGCUACCCUUACUUAUGUAAGCAGUAACACUGACCUAAGUGGAACUAUUCCAUGAUUAACAGCAGUAGGAUUGGGGCCUUAGGCCUUUAGGAAUUCUUUUCUGGAUGGAAAUAAGAUAAUAACUCCUUGGCAAGGAGUCAAGCCAGGCUGCUGUAGCCAAGAGAGUGCAACAAUUGGAACAGCAAUUAGAUAUGUUAUUAUGUGUGACAAGCCUUAAUGGGCCAAAUAUGGGCUUCACUCACUAAGAACCCUGUCUUAUGAACACCCUAAUUGGGCCCCAUUCUAUCCAGCUCCUAUUUAACUCAAUGGCUAAACUCUCUUGGAUGUCUAUCUAUCUAUGCAAGCUUUCAUGUUAUGCUCUCACUGGAGUAGCUGAGGCCCGGAUCCACAAACCCACACUUAGGCACUAAACCCCAUACUUACGCACCUAAAUUCUGAUUUUGACUCCACUGUGAUCCACAAAAACUCCCGCUGAACCCUGGGUAGGCACCUAGGCUCAUUUGGUGUUUAAGUUUUCAGGGUAACCAUUCCCUCAACACCUAUAUUUUUGCCUCUGAGCAUGUGUACUGCUGCCUCAUUCUAGGCAUCCAGACACCUAUCUCCUGCCUAAGCCCCAGAGCUAUUAAAAACUAGGGGAAGACAGGCAUUCAAAAGCCUAUGUCAUGUGCGGGGGCCCUUUCCAGUAGGUGAGCUCAGAGGUUGCCUACUGGAUUGGGUCCCAUUUGAAAUCACAGAGAUGUGGGAAACCCAGGUUCAAUUCCACUCUCUGCUAGAGGGGGAGAAGGCAUUUGAACAGGGGGGCUCUCAUCUCUCAAGAAAGUGGUCCAAAAACUGGGCUAAAAGUUACAACUUGGGCUCCUCCUACUCUGUGAUUUUGAAUGGGACCUGAUUCAGUAGGCAGCCUCUGAGCACAUCCACUGGAUCAGGCCCCGUACAUGACUUAGGUGGUCAAAUGCCUGUCUUCCCCUGGUUCUUGAAUCAAACUUAAAAGCUGCAAUGCCUUAGUCCCUUCAUGGAUCCCACCUUGAGGUCUAUGGUAGUAGGAUAGAGACACGUUAAUUUGCCUUAUUCAGGGCUUGAUUUUGCACCACUGAAGCCCAUGGGAGUUUGGUCAGUGACUUCAGUGUGAACAAUCCCUGAGUGUGCACUUUGCAUGGGACAGGCCAUCCUACUGGUGCCUACAGUGAAAUAGUUACAGAUUUUCUUUAAAAUCCCAUUGGAAAUUCUGUAGGAGCCCUGCCUCAUUCACUAUGGAUAUUGCAAGGUGUAUGAUGAUUAAAGUAGGUCUGCAAAAACCCUUCCCUUGUUUACUGUGUAUAUAAAUGAGUUUACUGGUUUCUCUUUGGAUUUGCAUACUACUACACAGUAGAAGAAGAUAUUACAUGUGUGUCUAGGGUGGUAUAAAAAAUAUAAAAUUAAGUCAAUGGGUAAACUAAAGAUUGCAUUUGAGAAAUAGUAUGUGAUCAUGCAAUUAAAGUCUACACCAUAAUGCAUAUGCAUAAAGGCGAGCAGUUAUAUUUUGACACCCAAACGUAACUUGAGCAUUUUCUGACUUUUGAGUAUUUAACUGUGCUUCCCUUACUGCAGAUGGUGGUGCUUUGUUUGUUUGUUUGUUUAGGAAUAUAGAUUGUAUUUGCCAUUUAGUCUUCUGUGGAAUGAUGUAUGACAUUUGGUCAAAUGCAUUUUGCUUUCAGGAUAAAUUAUAAAGUACUUAAGUAUAUUUCAUUACACAUUAUAUUUAAUCUCCAGGCAAAAUGCAUUCUGUGUAAAUAUUGCUUUUUAUUAUAAGGGCAAAUUGUAUACUGUCCAAGACUGAAUUUCAUUGUGGGGAGCUAUACAAUUUGUCUAACCAUUCUAAGGAAAAAGGACAUCAAAUACAUAUGAGCAACUCUAUUGUUGAAAUGAAUUUUAAUCAUCCUUCCAGAUACACUGUAUAAUGGAAUUUGAUAAAUUUCAUUCUCUGGACCUCAUUCUGAUCACUAAUGAGAGAUUAAUGUUACAACAUUCCAAUGGCAGCAAGCUGGAUUCUUGCUCUUAAUAAGAUGUUGAUAAUGCAGACACCGUAAUUUAUCUAUUACUUAAGAAAAGUUAAAUCAGAUCCUAUGGAAGGGGGAAAAUGAAGUAGGUGAGAAGUAAUACAUACAUGGCCUAAAGAAUCUAGGUAAGCAGCUGGAGGUCUUCAAGGCCUAAUUUAAUUACUUCUGGGGAAUGGUUUUGUUUUGAUCUUGUAAAACAAGAUUGAGAGUCAGGAGACUUGGAUUCCAUACUUGGCUUUCCCACAGACUUUGCUACAUGACCCUAGGAAAGUCUCUUAGGACCAACCCUGCACCAUGGAAGGUAACAGGAAUUUUUCUUCAGUGAAGGAGCCAAAUCAUACUUUUAUUUACACCCCAUAUUCUUCAUAGAAAUAUUAUGAUAUGAAUAUGGCAUAACUAAGAUAUGUUUUAUGCAAGAUGGGUCAUGUGCGGUAUCAUUGAAAAGGUUAUGAUCUACUAAAUGUGUUUAUCCAAUUUGUAUGCAUGUAUCAUUUCUGUGUCUGAAGUUAGGAAUAUUGACUACAUCACAAUUACAACUGUGUAUUUACUUGGGGAAUGCCCACCAGACAGUAGUGAUCAUUCAAUCAGCCUGAAUGAGCCAUUUAAUAAGGACAAUAGAACUUUGAAGAUACUAAUCUCCCACCAUUGAGGGAGGGGGCGAUUUUUAUGAGCAUGCAUUGUACAGAUCUCUCUAUACAGCACAAGACAAUAUUGUUUUGGGGUUUACACUCCAGAUGGUGUAUGCACUGGAGUGCUGACCAUUCCCCUAGUUGAAUCCUCCUACACAGAACUGAUUUCAGUCUGUGUCUGCAGCUUAGUGUGGCCUUGCCUGGGUGUGUGCUAGAAAGGGGCUUGAGAGCCUGGCACAGCAACCCAAUGCAAGGGAAACCCAGGCUGGUCGGACCGCUGGGCUCAGUGGGACCCCAGCAUAUCUGGUGCUACCCUGAAAGGGAGGUCCAACCUGUCAUCCAUACCCUUUCUGUGCUCCAGUUCCUUCAUAUAUAAAAUUUGGAUAACAGCACGUGCCUAUCUCACACAGAUGUUGCUAAUCUAAAUCACUUAAUAUUUGUGGAGUGCAUUGGGCACUUCAGAUGGACCUUGUUCUUCAGUUCCACCAACAUAGGCUUUUGCUACUGGAGCUAACGGAGAACUCCUUAACUGCUAAUUGCAGCAGGUCCCUUAUUCUUUGUGUAGGUCAGCCAUUAUAGGGCAACAUCAUUAUCACACACUCAAAACAGCACACUAGGACUUGAGCCAAUGUGCACUGAAGUCAUGGGAAUUCUUAUCCUUGACUUCACUAGCUUUUGGAUUAGGUUUUGAUAGGGUGCUAUAUACAUGCACAAACAAGCAAGAUUGAGGAAACCCCAUAUCAAUUCCUGAUCUGAAUUGACUCCCUUAGGUUACUUUUGUGGACCUGGGUCUCCACAUCACUUUUGGCUUCAGCCUAUCAGCUUUUUAUGCUUUUAUAAAUCGUGUGUGUGUGUGUGUGUGUGUUUACAUUU